GUGCCCGUAGCUCAGUUGGAUAGAGUACAACCCUCCGAAGGUUGGGGUCAGGAGUUCGAAUCCCCUCGGGCACGCCA
rnacentral:tRNA from 1 species